GACGAACGCUGGCGGCGUGCUUAACACAUGCAAGUCGAACGGAAAGGCCCUGCUUUUGUGGGGUGCUCGAGUGGCGAACGGGUGAGUAACACGUGAGUAACCUGCCCUUGACUUUGGGAUAACUUCAGGAAACUGGGGCUAAUACCGGAUAGGAGCUCCUGCUGCAUGGUGGGGGUUGGAAAGUUUCGGCGGUUGGGGAUGGACUCGCGGCUUAUCAGCUUGAUGGUGGGGUAGUGGAUUACCAAGGCUUUGACGGGUAGCCGGCCUGAGAGGGUGACCGGCCACAUUGGGACUGAGAUACGGCCCAGACUCCUACGGGAGGCAGCAGUGGGGAAUAUGGCACAAUGGGCGGAAGCCUGAUGCAGCAACGCCGCGUGCGGGAUGACGGCCUUCGGGUUGUAAACCGCUUUCGCCUGUGACGAAGCGUGAGUGACGGUAAUGGGUAAAGAAGCACCGGCUAACUACGUG
rnacentral:rRNA from 1 species